GUUAGUUACAACUGGAGUUGGAGUGGAAAACCUACAGGAGGGCAGCUCUAAAAGAACAGUUGGAGAGCCCUGGUCUAGGGUCGAUUUAGAAUACAUAUCCAGUGUUAUUCACUGCAUCAGCCAACAAAAUACUGUUUUUUUUCAGCGUUUGCCUCCUUCUGUUGAAGACAGAGGUGAGCUCACCAGCGUCUUCUUGCUGCAUGUUGGAAUGGUUGGGACCGACCCAGACGUCACGUUUAGUCUGAGAUUAGAGGCUAUAAGAACGAUUAACUCGAUCCUCGAC